UCAAGAAACUUCCACAAUGGGCGAAAGCCUGAUGGAGCGACGUCGCGUGAUGGACGAAGUGCUUCGGCACGUAAACAUCUUUUAUGUGGGAUGAAAUUAUUGACAGUACCACAUGAAUAAGGGGCUCCUAACUCUGUGCCAGCAGGAGCGGUAAUACAGAGGCCCCAAGCGUUAUCCGGAAUCACUGGGCGUAAAGGGUGUCGAGUCGGUUGUAUUAGCCGUUCGUAAAAUCUACGAGCUUAACUUGUAGGCGGCGAACGAAACGGUACGACUUGAGGUUUGGAGAGGUGCGUGGAACUCACGGUGUAGGGGUGAAAUCCGUUGAUAUCGUGGGGAACACCAAAGGCGAAGGCAGCGCACUGGCCAAAAUCUGACGCUCACACACGAAAGCUAGGGUAGCGAAGAGGAUUAGAUACCCUCGUAGUCCCUGAGCGGGCUGGCAAGGCGCAU
rnacentral:rRNA from 1 species